GAAAAAGUGUGAAAAUUCAAGGCAACAAGUGAAAAAAGGUGGUGAAUCCUCCGAUAAAGGCAAAGAAAUUGUACCCGAGGAUCGAUAGUCGGAGUAUUCUAAAAAUUCGACUCCCAAAAUAGCUCAGAAUAGGCUUUAGAUAGCUGAUUCCAUCGAGGGUACCAUUGGAUUUGCAUCCUUCAAACUGUAGGUUCACAAUCUCCC